CUGCCUGUAGCUCAGCAGGACAGAGCACCGCCCUCCUAAGGCGGGUUGUCGGACGUUCGAAUCGUCUCAGGCAGGCCA
rnacentral:tRNA from 1 species